GAUGAACGCUGGCGGUAUGCUUAACACAUGCAAGUCGAACGGUACCUCCGGGUAUAGUGGCGGAUGGGUGAGUAAAGCGUGAGAAUCUAUCUUCAGGUCGGGGACUACAGUUAGAAAUGACUGCUAAUACCGGAUGUGACGAACGGUAAAAGAUUUAUUGCCUGAAGAAGAGCGCGCGUCUGAUUAGCUAGUAGGUGGCGUAAGAGACUACCUAGGCUUGGAUCUGUAGCUGGUCUGUGAGGACGAGCAGGCACACUGGAACUGAGACCCGGUCCAGACUCCUGGGGGAGGGAGGAAAGGGUGAUCUACCGGAACGGGCGGGAUGCUGACGGAGCAAGGGCGGGAGAGCGACGAAGGCGUUUGAGUCGUAAACCUCUUUUCUCAAAGAAGAUUCUGACGGUACCUAAAGAAUAAGCACCGGCUAACUCCGUG
rnacentral:rRNA from 1 species